GGAUAUUGGUAGUUUAAGAUUUGAAAAUAACAACUUGUGGGGUUGUAGAUGUUUGUGAUAAGCCCUUAUCCC
rnacentral:tRNA from 1 species